rnacentral:rRNA from 1 species
CACGGCCCGGCAUCGGGUUGAGGGAAAAGGAUUUAUUCGCUUCAGGAUGGACUCGCGUCCAAUUAGCUAGUUGGUGAGGUAACGGCCCACCAAGGCGACGAUUGGUAGCCGGACUGAGAGGUUGAACGGCCACAUUGGGACUGAGACACGGCCCAGACUCCUACGGGAGGCAGCAGUGGGGGAUAUUGCACAAUGGGGGAAACCCUGAUGCAGCGACGCCGCGUGGAGGAAGAAGGUUUUCGGAUUGUAAACUCCUGUCGUUAGGGACGAAUCAUGACGGUACCUAACAAGAAAGCACCGGCUAACUACGUGCCAGCAGCCGCGGUAAAACGUAGGGUGCAAGCGUUGUCCGGAAUUACUGGGUGUAAAGGGAGCGCAGGCGGACCGGCAAGUUGGAAGUGAAAUCUAUGGGCUCAACCCAUAAAUUGCUUUCAAAACUGCUGGCCUUGAGUAGUGCAGAGGUAGGUGGAAUUCCCGGUGUAGCGGUGGAAUGCGUAGAUAUCGGGAGGAACACCAGUGGCGAAGGCGACCUACUGGGCACCAACUGACGCUGAGGCUCGAAAGCAUGGGUAGCAAACAGGAUUAGAUACCCUGGUAGUCCAUGCUGUAAACGAUGAUUACUAGGUGUUGGAGGAUUGACCCCUUCAGUGCCGCAGU